UUUUUUUUUUUUUGAGAAAAUUCCAUCUUGUUUCCCAUGAGCGUUGCACCAGUGUAGAGUCCCAGCCAGAGCACAAGGGGUUCCUUUUCCUCCACAUCCUCACGCGUUAUUUGUUGUCCGACGAUGGCUGUCGUCAGCUGGCGCAAGGUGGCAUCGCGUGGAGCUUUGGCUCCGCACUUGCUGUGCGGUCAGUGACGCUGAGCAUCUUCCCUGCUUCUGCUCACCAUCUGCAUGUCUUCUCGCCAACCGAGAUUCCCACAUGAUGAGUAAGGCUUGAACACACCCGCAACUGUGGUCUGAAUUGCUUUCACGUUUCCUUCUACUAGGAAAUCUCUGAUCAUCCCUAUACCUUAAGCUUGGGAUAAAAGGGCUGCCAUGUAUGUGAGGCUCAGAUUUUUUUUCCAUAUGUACUUUCAGAUGCCUGGUGAGGCUUGCAAGUUGCGUAUAAGCUUUGCCACACUCAUGACAUUUGUAAGGUUUUUCUCCAGUAUGGAUGGUUUUGUGUUGGGUAAGAUAUGAAUGCCUUGUGAGGGCUUUGCCACACUCAUCGCAUUUGUAAAGUUUCUCUCCAGUAUGAGUUCUUUCAUGACCCCAAAGUUGCGACCGUUCAAUAAAAGCCUUCCCACAUUCAUUACACUGAUAAGGUUUCUCUCCUGUAUGAAUUCUCUGGUGUGCUAUGAGAUUUGAACGCUGGGUAAAGUGCUUGCCACACGCAUUGCAUUCGUGUGGUUUCUCUCCAGCAUGCAUUUUCUGAUGUCUGCUAAGGUGUGAAAACUGGCUAAAAGCUCUGCCGCAUUCAUCACACUUGUAAGGUUUCUCGCCGGUGUGCAUCCUCUGGUGAUUUGCAAGGUGUGAAUUUCACCUGAAGACCUUGCCACACACAUCGCAUUUAUAAGAUUUCUCUCCAGUGUGGACUCGCUGGUGUGUGGUGAGGUGUGAAUACUGGUUAAAGGCUUUGCCACAAUCAUUACAGAAUGAAUGAAUUCUCUUGUGACUUGUGAGCUUUCAUCUUUUGCUAAAAGCCUUCCCGCAGUCACUACAGGUGUAAGCUUUGUCUCUAGGGUGUGUUCUCCUGUGUUGUGCAGGUAACAAAGUGUUUUUCACACUAGGGAGAAUUCUUUGAAAUGAUGACACUGAGGAACCACUGACAGACGUCUCCACUUGACUGUAUUCAUACAUUUUCUCCUCAGCUGGAAAUCUCUACAGUUCGGCCACCUCUGCCUGCAGCCUUCCUCCAGUCUUGCUUUCCAGAUGCUUUAUAUCUUUGUUUCCAGCAGUGCUUGUGUUACUUCUCAUUUUUAGCACAUUUCUCAGGAAUAGCUUGUCAUGCAUGACAGAUUCACAUGGGUGACUUCUUACAGAAACACUCCGAGGAAAAUUAACUGAGGAUUUAUGAUCCUGAUCUUCUCUAUGAGAUUCUGUUGAGGGUCAGAAACCCUUCUUUGUAAUGUCUUGCAUCACAUCCCCACUCACUCUCAAACUUUUGGGUAUUUUCAGAGUCUUCCUUGAGAUCGAAAUUCUGAAUGCCAUGACUUAGUCCUUUGCGGUAUCACUAGACGGCAUGAUUCUCCUGUAUCAAUGUCCUCUCUUGGUGAUAAAUCCUUGAUUGCACGUCCGGGAGAAUAGAUUCCUAUUGAGUUGGAAAAUAAAUAUAUUGAAUUACAUAAUUACAAAAAAAUAUAAUACAUAAGUUUCUCAAGAAUGGUCUUCAGACGCUGUGAUAGAUUUUUUCUCUUUUUAUACUUUUUCCCUUAAUUUUUUUCUCUGAUCCUGGAUAAUAAAGUUUCGAGCACACACGACACACAUUUUUUGCAAUAUGACUUCUAAUUAAAUGAUACACCAUAGUUAGAAAACUGACCUAUCUAGUGGCUUAUUGACCUGGAGGAAUGAAAUCAUAACCGAGAGUUCAGUCUUCUCUCCUCCUCAAACUUUAUAAUGAUGUGUUUAAAACGUGACUUGAGGCAAGAAAAAAAAAAUCUAUACAGUACAGUAAAAACUGAUAAAAACAUUUUCAGGGGAGUUCCCGUCGUGGCGCAGUGGUUGACGAAUCCGACUAGGAACCAUGAGGUUAUGAGUUCGAUCCCUGGCCUCGCUCAGUCGGUUGAGGAUCUGGCAUUGCUGUGGCUGUGGUGUAGGCUGGUGGCUACAGUUCCGAUUAGACCCCUAGCCUGGGAACCUCCGUAUGCCACAGGAGAGGCUCAAGAAAAGGCAAAAAAGACAACUACAAAAAAACAUUUUCAUAACCCAUGAUAAUCUAGCAGGUAAGUUAAUAAGUAAGCACAGUUAUAUAAAAUAAUGGUCUCUGGAGUUCUAAAAAGUUCUUCUCUAUGUAUCAUAAAAGAAGAUUUUUCAUUCCAGAAGGAACACACAAUAGGAAAAAUAAAAAAUAGGUUGAAAAGCACUGAAUUUUGAAGUAUCAGGUUCAGGUUAAUGCAUGUACAUGUAAAGUCUAAGAAUUAGGGAAAUAACUGAAAUCUCAAUCACGAUGACAUGCCUGCAGUUCUGUAAGAGUGUCAUUUAACCACUCAGUUAUGUGGCAAAAAAAUAUAUGUACCAUAUAAAUGCAUCAUUUGAAAAUCUGUUAUCUAAGGUCAGAGAGAACAUUCAUAUGGAAAAAAUUACAAAAAGAUGAAGCAAAAUAUAACGUGGGCUAAGGUCAGUCUCUGAUACCCAUGACCCCAAAAUGGCAUAACUAGCAACUAAAGGUAACUUUUCAGUCCUUACUAUCUGCCAUGCACUAUUUCCAGCCCUGUAACAGCAUUAACUUAUUUAAUUCUUCUAGAGGUAAAUCAUCACGGUUUUUCAUAUAAAAGUAAAGGACCCACAUGCCUGUACAUCUAUCCCUAACUCACCCAGAAAGCAAAUUUAAGAGCCAAGCUUUGAACCUGGGUGUGCAGAAUAAGAUGCCAAGUUCAUAACUAUUACGCAGCAUCCCCCCCAUCCCAGCAGCACAGAUUUCGAGACGUCCCAGCCAAUGACCGUGUCAUACAGGAAAGGGGUUAUGUCGCUUGACGGGUGACUGUCCUGGGAGUCCCGGCCGACAACCGAGUCCUGUUCUGCUCGUGCAACGUCUGCACAGAAACCAGGCGAUGCUGUCGAUCUGAGCAAACGAUCUGUGGGGCUGGACGGGGCUGGAGCAGCUGAGACCCCGACCUUGGAAAAGACCUGCCUGACCUUGGAAAAGACCUGCCACCGCAAGAGUCGUAACCGUGACUCACGCUCCAGGCACUCGUGAUGGAGCACGACGGCGCAUACUGUGAGAAAAAGCACGCACACACUGAAGAGUCAUAAACAUGUUCCAGAAGGUAUGGUCAAGUUUACUCUUAGCAGAACCCGAAAGGAAAGACCUGGAAAUGGCUACGAAGAGGAGAAUGAAUGAAUGCACUCUUAUAAACACGUGUGGAGGCGGUAAAACCCUCCCAAGGGUCCGGCAGUAGAAGAUGACCCUGGGUGCUGGACGAUGACCUCCUGGCGGGAGCAACAGAGGUUGACUGGUGGGAACAAAGUUAGCAGGAAGCUUUGCUAAGGUUUCACGUCUUGGUGGACAUGAUGAUAUUUGGUAAGAAUAACCUGUGAGCUACAUUAUUUUAAAAGGAGCAUCAAGGAGUUCCUGUCGUGGCGCAGUGGUUAACGAAUCCGACCAGGAACCAUAAGGUUGUGGGUUCGAUCCCUGGCCUUGCUCAGUGGGUUAGGGAACCGGUGUUGCCAUGAGCUGUGGUGUAGGUUGCAGACUCGGCUUGGAUCCCACGUUGCUGUGGCUCUGGCGUAGGUCGGCGGCUACAGCUCCAAUUUGAUCCCUAGCCUGGGAACCUCCAUAUGCCGCAGGAGCAGCUCCAGAAAAGGCAAAAAGACAACAACAACAACAACAAAAAAAAACUAUAAAGAGAAAAUAAAUAAAAGGAGUA
rnacentral:lncRNA from 1 species